rnacentral:rRNA from 1 species
AGCGAACGCUGGCGGCAGGCCUAACACAUGCAAGUCGAACGAACUCUUCGGAGUUAGUGGCGGACGGGUGAGUAACACGUGGGAACGUGCCCUUUGGUACGGAAUAACUCAGGGAAACUUGAGCUAAUACCGUAUGUGCCCUUCGGGGGAAAGAUUUAUCGCCAUUGGAGCGGCCCGCGUCUGAUUAGCUAGUUGGUGAGGUAACGGCUCACCAAGGCGACGAUCAGUAGCUGGUCUGAGAGGAUGACCAGCCACAUUGGGACUGAGACACGGCCCAAACUCCUACGGGAGGCAGCAGUGGGGAAUCUUGCGCAAUGGGCGAAAGCCUGACGCAGCCAUGCCGCGUGGAUGAUGAAGGUCUUAGGAUUGUAAAAUCCUUUCACCGGUGAAGAUAAUGACUGUAGCCGGAGAAGAGGCCCCGGCUAACUUCGUGCCAGCCGCCGCCGUAAAAC